GACGAACGCUGGCGGCGUGCCUAAUACAUGCAAGUCGAGCGCAGGAAGCUGACGGAACUCUUCGGAGGGAAGGCAGUGGAAUGAGCGGCGGACGGGUGAGUAACACGUAAGGAACCUGCCUCAAGGAUUGGGAUAACUCCGAGAAAUCGGAGCUAAUACCGGAUAGUUCAACGGACCGCAUGGUCCGCUGAUGAAAGGCGCUUCGGCGUCACCUUGAGAUGGCCUUGCGGUGCAUUAGCUAGUUGGUGAGGUAACGGCCCACCAAGGCGACGAUGCAUAGCCGACCUGAGAGGGUGAUCGGCCACACUGGGACUGAGACACGGCCCAGACUCCUACGGGAGGCAGCAGUAGGGAAUCUUCCACAAUGGACGAAAGUCUGAUGGAGCAACGCCGCGUGAGUGAUGAAGGUUUUCGGAUCGUAAAACUCUGUUGUAAGGGAAGAACACGUACGAGAGGAAAUGCUCGUACCUUGACGGUACCUUACGAGAAAGCCACGGCUAACUACGUGCCAGCCGCCGCCGUAA
rnacentral:rRNA from 1 species